CCCCCCAACAUCCGUACGACCGGCCAGCAAAUAGCUCGGCACGGCAGCCGUGUCCGAAAGAGAUUGGUUCUGGUCCCGGUCAGAGGAAACACUUAUCUCUGGGCCAUUACCCUUCAUGCACAAUGAACCAAAUGAAAGAUAGGGUCCGUAAUCUGGUCCCGGUCAGACCUGAGAUAAGGUGGACGCCAGCUGCUGUGGGGGGGCCUGUAUGUAAAUCCGAUAAACAAAAGUGCUCCGGAGUGGAAGAACGAUGAUCAGGGCGGUCCCAGACUGGUCUCCAACCCGUCGCCUUCCUCAACACAGAGCAGGACGGACAUGGAGCUGGCCGAAUCAAGCUCUGAAAUGCGGUUCACCUCAUACACACGAGUCCUUGCUGACCACACAGGACCAUGCCAGGCGAUGUGAGCGCUGAGGCGGUCGUACGUCAGAGCGUAGCGCGCUGAGCGGUGGCGGGGGCUCCGUUGUGGCGCUCCAUGAGUCCUCUCCAUGAGUCCUCCUGCCCGUAAUUGGCUGAGUGUCCCCGACACCAGAGCCACGUGCAGAACACCCUGAUGAGGACCAGAGCCUCUGGCUGUGAACAGUCUUCAUUAGGGGCCGAGGGGCCCUCUCUCUCAGUCCGCUGUUGUCCUUUGUCGUUAACACACUUCUUUUUCACCAACUCUUUCACAGCCAAGAAUCACUCGGCCAAAUGAUUUGAAAUAGAGAGGGCUUUCUUUCAUUGGAUGAAUGAUUCAGAAUGAUGGUGGGUUCUGAUUGGCCUGACGAUAAGAUCAAAGCAGGGUUCUGAUUAGCCGUAGGUUAAAACAAAAGGCACUCUGAUUGGUGAUCGAUCUGAAUAAAGGCAGUCGUGAUUGGUCAAAAGAUUUGAAUGAUUGGCUGAGGGAUAAUAAUAAAGAUGGUAUCGAUGGUAUCAUGGAAGUCUUGGCAGAGCGGUUCUCCAGUUGGCCAGCAGUCCAGAGAUGAUUUUAAUGUAUUGUCAUUGAUAUCUUGUACCAAUGUACUGAAGGAGGCUCCUCUUAGCGUUGGCGUCAACCCAGGGGCGGAGUCUGGGGCGACGUCCAAAACGAGAAUUAUAAAAAAAAGGCUGCUCAACGAUGGAACCAGCCAGCUCCAUAACCCUGCUGGCAGGAGGAUCUCUGACCUGGCUGACGCAACGGUUGGACAGAGCAGCAGCUGUGCUGUUUGACCCCAGACCAACACAGACCAUCCUCAGUGUCCAGAGUUGACUGGUGGGAGAUGACCUGUUUUCCUACGAUGAUGCAUAACCCCUACCUGCUGCUCCAUGACCUGCGUCUGCGUUCACUGUCGCUCACCCUGCAUAAAAGCAUCUCCAAAAUGACUCAAUAAACACAAAACUUGAAGCAUAA